GAAAGGGCGGAGGGGUUGGCGCGUGCGCAUAGGACGGCUAUUUUGGCGGGCGUUGCGCAGAAGCAGCGGCUGUGAGGGGGUACAACCCAGGGAGGGGGAGUUGGUGUCGUCGGGAGCCCGUUACUUUCUCCAGAGUCCUUGCAGAUAUUCCUUUUUGGAACAUUCUGGACCUUUACUCCUCCAACUGCAGAUGCAAGGAUAAUGCACCCAGCAUAGAACAAGAGCCCUACAGAGCAGCCCAAACAAAAACGGCACACAGA